rnacentral:rRNA from 1 species
UACGGGGGGGGUAAGCGUUGUUCGGAAUUACUGGGCGUAAAGGGCUCGUAGGCGGCCAACUAAGUCAGACGUGAAAUCCCCGGGCUCAACCCGGGAACUGCGUCCGAUACUGGAUGGCUUGAAUCCGGGAGAGGGAUGCAGAAUUCCAGGUGUAGCGGUGAAAUGCGUAGAUAUCUGGAGGAAUACCGGUGGCGAAGGCGGCAUCCUGGACCGGCAUUGACGCUGAGGAGCGAAAGCCAGGGGAGCAAACGGG